rnacentral:rRNA from 1 species
ACGCGAAGAACCUUACCUACUCUUGACAUCCAGAGAACUUUCCAGAGAUGGAUUGGUGCCUUCGGGAACUCUGAGACAGGUGCCGCAUGGCUGUCGUCAGCUCGUGUUGUGAAAUGUUGGGUUAAGUCCCGCAACGAGCGCAACCCUUAUCCUUUGUUGCCAGCGGGUUAAGCCGGGAACUUUAAGGAUACUGCCAGUGACAAACUGGAGGAAGGCGGGGACGACGUCAAGUCAUCAUGGCCCUUACGACCAGGGCUACACACGUGCUACAAUGGUCGGUACAAAGGGUUGCUACCUAGCGAUAGGAUGCUAAUCUCAAAAAGCCGAUCGUAGUCCGGAUUGGAGUCUGCAACUCGACUCCAUGAAGUCGGAAUCGCUAGUAAUCGCGGAUCAGAAUGCCGCGGUGAAUACGUUCCCGGGUCUUGU